rnacentral:lncRNA from 1 species
GGAGAAGUUUGGAUUACACCUGAUAUCAGGGGGACUUUCACCCAUUUCCAUAGCCAUCAGGAAGCUGACAGAUUUUUGGGGGUAAGUCCCAGUUUGGAAUAAGAAGAGGUCGCUUGUUGGGUUUUGUAGUACAAAGCAGGAAUGUAAAGGCAGCUUUCAUAAUUCCUGUUGUGCUGUAUUUGUGCCUCCAGCCAGUGCUUUAACAUUUGGACUCAUAUUGUUUUGAGUACCAAACUUAGAUGUAUUAAGAGAAAAAGUGGUAAUAGAUAGAAUUACCUAUAUAUCCCAUUAAAAAUUGUGAUAUUGUGAGAAAAUACUUAACAAUAUUCUGAUUUUUAGCUAUGUUAGCUAAAUUUUGAAGUGUCUUAUAUUUAACAGAGGUUGCAGCAGGAGUAUGUGAUGAACUGGGAAGUAACUUAAGUUAAUAAUUGCAGUUUAUUUUUCUUUAUACUAAAUCUUCUUUGAAAGAUACCUCAUCUUUUUUAAGCAAUAGAACUAUAGAUGAGAGAACCUGAGUUCACUAUGUAGGCAGAGGAGUUAUUUUGUGUUUGUUCUAAGCUUAUAAAUCAUCAGAAUGUUUUAAGCAGCUGUUAACCAAUACUGUAAAAGAGCCAGCUUCAGAAAAGGCCAAGAGUUGCCAAGUGGGGAUGUUUCUGUUUUGAGAACUUAAUACACACGGAAAAGGAUGUGUUUUCUUUUGAACCUCUGUUCUCUUUCAGAACAGUUCAUGCGUGUACUGCACUAAACUUGGAACAAACAUGGUGCAAGGCUACUAAAAACAGCUGGAAGCACCUAAAUUUCAUAAAAGACAUUCUGAGAAGACCAGUAUGAGCAGAGAUAAUGCUCCCCCUUGGAGAAGGGGAUGAAAGUGGAAGAGCCUUUAAAGAAUACCUGCCUUAAUCCGUGGUUGCUCAGGAGAGCAGAGGGAGUCUACACAAGAUUUGUUUGGUAUCUGAGCAACCAGUUUCUAAAGCAUCAAAUCCCAAAAAGGAGGCAGGAAAGACUUCUUUUGAUUCUGGAACAAAAGACUUCCGAAUACCCUCCCAGCUCUGUGUCCUUGGUUUGGUACAGUACAGUGCCACUUCCCAUGCAUGAACUGCAAAUGCUGAAAGGUGAAUAA